CAAUAGCCUGAGCUAUCAUGACGUCCAUCACUACGUCGCCAUCUACUGCCUGGCGGCCGCAGGGCUGGCGGUUGCGGGCGGCGCGUGGGUGCGCGCGACCUGCAGACGCGCUCGAGCCGCGCGCCCGCCUCCGAGCAGUGAUCAGCAGGACACUACUGUACAUUGUGUGUGUUCCAAAAAUUUUAAGUGUAUAAGUGUGAGUGAAAAAGCAGAGCAAAGUGAUUACAGUGUCAGUGUUCUCGGUCAAGACAUUCCAAAUCAGACUAAUCGAUCGGUUCAUAAAAACACUUCGCCUGUUUUAUUAAAAUGUAAUUUUAGACGUACUCGCUAACUAAAAAUUGUCGGGUCCAUUUGUAAAUUAGCCUUUAAGAUUUUAUGUCGGUUUCAUCCUUGUUUUAGUUUAGCUCACAUCAUCCAUACCUCACUCAUCUUCUCGCCCGGGAGCAUGUACGGUUCAGCCGCACAUACAUAUCGCCCGAUCAGCAGUUUACGUUAGUUGCACGAUUCAUUAGCUAAAUACAUCAGUUCACGUUCACAUAUCAUCAUCGUACAGCGCGUUCGUGAGCUCAUUCAUAUCAAUUAAAUAUUAGCAAAUAUAUUUAUAUUUUAACAUUUAUUUUUAUAUCUUUUAUCUACCAUAAUCAGCAGCAGCAAUUCAGGUGUAACAUACAAUAUUAAACUGUUAUUAUUUUGC